rnacentral:rRNA from 1 species
UACAGAGGUGGCAAGCGUUGUUCGGAAUUACCGGGCGUAAAGGGCGCGUAGGCGGUCAGGUCAGUCCCGUGUGAAAUCCCUCGGCUCAACUGAGGAACUGCACGGGAAACUGCCUGGCUUGAGUUCGGGAGAGGGAAGCGGAAUUCCGGGUGUAGCGGUGAAAUGCGUAGAUAUCGUAAGGAAGACCAGUGGCGAAGGCGGGUCUCUGGACAGUUCCUGACGCUGAGGCACGAAGGUCAGGGGAGCAAACGGG